AUUGGCUUAAUACAUGCAAGUCGGACGGCAGCACGGGUAGCAAUACCUGGUGGCGAGUGGCGCACGGGUGCGUAACGCGUAUGCAACCUACCCUUAACUGAGACAUAACCUGGCGAAAGCUGGGCUAAUAUCUCAUGAGGUUAUAGAGGGGCAUCCUGAUAUAAUCAAAGCAGCGAUGUGGUUAAGGAUGGGCAUGCGUCCCAUUAGCUAGUUGGCGAGGUAACGGCUCACCAAGGCGACGAUGGGUAGGGGUUCUGAGAGGAAGGUCCCCCACACUGGUACUGAGACACGGACCAGACUCCUACGGGAGGCAGCAGUAAGGAAUAUUGGGCAAUGGUCGGAAGACUGACCCAGCCAUGCCGCGUGCAGGAAGAAGGCCCUAUGGGUUGUAAACUGCUUUAGCCAGGGGCUAAACCUACCGAUGCGUUGGUAGCUGAAGGUACCUGGAGAAUAAGCAUCGGCUAACUCCGUGCCAGCAGCCGCGGUAAUACGGAGGAUGCGAGCGUUAUCCGGAUUUACUGGGUUUAAAGGGUGCGCAGGCGGUUGUUUAAGUCAGGGGUGAAAGCCCUAUGCUCAACAUAGGGAUUGCCUUUGAUACUGAACGGCUAGAGUGAAGAUGGAGUGGGUGGAAUGUGUUGUUGUACCGGUGAAAUGCAUAGAUAUAACACAGAACACCGAUUGCGAAGGCAGCUCACUAAUUUUCAACUGACGCUCAUGCACGAAAGCGUGGGGAUCAAACAGGAUUAGAUACCCUGGUAGUCCACGCUGUAAACGAUGAUCACUAGCUGUUGGUACGCUGAAGUAUCAGUGGCUAACCGAAAGUGAUAAGUGAUCCACCUGGGGAGUACGACCGCAAGGUUGAAACUCAAAGGAAUUGACGGGGGCCCGCACAAGCGGAGGAGCAUGUGGUUUAAUUUCGAUGAUACGCGAGGGAGCCUUACCAGGGGCUCGAACGCAAGGGGGGAUUUACCUGGAAGGGUAUAGCCAGCGAUAGUUCACUUGCGAGGUGCUUCCUUGGUUUUCGUCCACC
rnacentral:rRNA from 1 species